rnacentral:rRNA from 1 species
GGGGCCCCUCGUCACCCGGAUCUACCACCGGGAUGUUCAUAACCCUUUGUUGUCCGACUCUGUUGCCUCCGGGGCGACCCUGCCUUCGGGCGGGGGCUCCGGGUGGACACUUCAAACUCUUGCGUAACUUUGCAGUCUGAGUAAACUUAAUUAAUAAAUUAAAACUUUUAACAACGGAUCUCUUGGUUCUGGCAUCGAUGAAGAACGCAGCGAAAUGCGAUAAGUAAUGUGAAUUGCAGAAUUCAGUGAAUCAUCGAAUCUUUGAACGCACAUUGCGCCCCCUGGUAUUCCGGGGGGCAUGCCUGUUCGAGCGUCAUUUCACCACUCAAGCCUCGCUUGGUAUUGGGCAACGCGGUCCGCCGCGUGCCUCAAAUCGACCGGCUGGGUCUUCUGUCCCCUAAGCGUUGUGGAAACUAUUCGCUAAAGGGUGCUCGGGAGGCUACGCCGUAAAACAAACCCAUUUCUAAGGUUGACCUCGGAUCAGGUAGGGAUACCCGCUGAACUUAAGCAUAUCAAAAGCCGGAGGAACCGCUGAACUUAAGCAUAUCAAUAAGCGGAGGUGCUUUCUUGCGUUUAAUGCUGAUCUGGUAGGAGCGGAAGAACGGUUGCUUGUGGGAGGGCGCGGUAAAUCUUUUUUGCCUGAGAAAGUGUGCACCUGAGCCAUCUCACAAAAUACAUCAACCUGUAAAAAGGAAUUUCUGCCGUGGCCACCAAGAGAGAAGACACAAAUCACAUUAAGUAGUGCUCGUUGGCUGGCAUUUUUUUCAAACAGGAAAGCCUUGACCGCCUGGCGCCGGUGAAUUACCGGACACAUGCCGUGAGGAGGGUUGUCUUUUGUAUGGGUUCUCUUCCUCGUUUCGCACUGGGUUUUAUUAA